UAGGGAAUAUUGCAAAAUGGGCGAAAGCCCGAUGCAGCAACGCCGCGUGGGCGAUGAAGGCCUUCGGGUCGUAAAGCCCUUUUUGAGGGGAUGAGGAAGGACAGUACCCUCAGAAUAAGCCUCGGCUAACUACGUGCCAGCAGCCGCGGUAAAACGUAGGAGGCGAGCGUUAUCCGGAUUUACUGGGCGUAAAGCGCGUGCAGGCGGAUUGGAGAGUUGGAUGUGAAAGCUCCCGGCUUAACUGGGAGAGGUCGUUCAAUACUUCCAGUCUUGAGUGCAGUAGAGGGAAGUGGAAUUCCGGGUGUAGUGGUGAAAUGCGUAGAUAUCCGGAGGAGCACCAGUGGCGAAAGCGGCUUCCUGGACUGUAACUGACGCUGAGGUGCGAAAGCGUGGGUAGCAAACA
rnacentral:rRNA from 1 species